rnacentral:rRNA from 1 species
GAUGAACGCUGGCGGCGUGCCUAAUACAUGCAAGUCGAGCGAACAGACGAGGAGCUUGCUCCUCUGACGUUAGCGGCGGACGGGUGAGUAACACGUGGAUAACCUACCUAUAAGACUGGGAUAACUUCGGGAAACCGGAGCUAAUACCGGAUAAUAUAUUGAACCGCAUGGUUCAAUAGUGAAAGACGGUUUUAAUGUCACUUAUAGAUGGAUCCGCGCCGCAUUAGCUAGUUGGUAAGGUAACGGCUUACCAAGGCGACGAUGCGUAGCCGACCUGAGAGGGUGAUCGGCCACACUGGAACUGAGACACGGUCCAGACUCCUACGGGAGGCAGCAGUAGGGAAUCUUCCGCAAUGGGCGAAAGCCUGACGGAGCAACGCCGCGUGAGUGAUGAAGGUCUUCGGAUCGUAAAACUCUGUUAUUAGGGAAGAACAAAUGUGUAAGUAACUAUGCACGUCUUGACGGUACCUAAUCAGAAAGCCACGGCUAACUACGUG